rnacentral:rRNA from 1 species
GCCUACGGGGCGCAGCAGUGGGGGAUAUUGCACAAUGGGGGGAACCCUGAUGCAGCGACGCCGCGUGGGUGAAGAAGCGCCCCGGCGCGUAAAGCCCUGUCAGCAGGGAAGAAGGAGGACGGUACCUGACCAAGAAGCCCCGGCUAACUACGUGCCAGCAGCCGCGGUAAUACGUAGGGGGCAAGCGUUAUCCGGAUUUACUGGGUGUAAAGGGGGCGCAGACGGCGAUGCAAGCCAGGAGUGAAAGCCCGGGGCCCAACCCCGGGACUGCUCUUGGAACUGCGUGGCUGGAGUGCAGGAGGGGC